AAUAGGAGAAUGACAAAUCAGAUUUUUCCUCUUGAUUUUUAAUUUUUUUCUCCUAAAAAAUUCAAAUCCAACUAAAAAUGUUAAAAGUUCAGGAAGAAAAAUUUGAUUUGUCGUUCUCCUCUU
rfam:Gossypium raimondii Chr07_contig_1095, whole genome shotgun sequence.